rnacentral:tRNA from 1 species
GGUGGUUCAGUGGUAGAGCGCUUGCCUUGAAUGCAUGAGGCUCUGGGUUCGAUUCCUCAGCACCA